AUUACAUAAAAAAAAUAGGGCUAGAGGAGAUGAAGUUUAUUUUUAAUUUCAAUACACUCAUUCCACACGGCUUGAAUUCCGAUUUUGAAACAUGUCAUUUUUUUAAAGAAAAGUUAAUUUCAUUAAUUAUAUUCUUUAGGGUCUUUAAGAGGGAUAAAGAGAGGAAAAAAAGGAGAAAAAAACCAAAAAACUUUAUUUGCACAAGGUUUUUGACUAUUAGUGAAUUAAUCUUAUAUUUUAAGGUACCAACAAUAAAUUUGGCAAAAUAUAAAUAUAUUUCUCUUUAUAAAAAACAGAGAUAUGAUACUAACAUAAGC